rnacentral:misc_RNA from 1 species
GAUGAAGAACGUAGCGAAAUGCGAUAAGUAAUGUGAAUUGCAGAAUUCAGUGAAUCAUCGAAUCUUUGAACGCACAUUGCGCCCGCCAGUAUUCUGGCGGGCAUGCCUGUCUGAGCGUCAUUUCAACCCUCAUGCCCCUAGGGCGUGGUGUUGGGGAUCGGCCAAAGCCCGCGAGGGACGGCCGGCCCCUAAAUCUAGUGGCGGACCCGUCGUGGCCUCCUCUGCGAAGUAGUGAUAUUCCGCAUCGGAGAGCGACGAGCCCCUGCCGUUAAACCCCCAACUUUCCAAGGUUGACCUCAGAUCGGGUAGGAAUACCCGCUGAACUUAAGCAUAUCAAUAAGCGGAGGA